rnacentral:rRNA from 1 species
AUACGGAGGAUGCAAGCGUUAUCCGGAUUUAUUGGGUUUAAAGGGUGCGCAGGUUGUUUGGUAAGUCAGUGGUGAAAGUCUGUCGCUUAACGACAGGAUUGCCAUUGAUACUGUUAAACUUGAGUAUGGGUGAGGUAUUCGGAAUGUGUAGUGUAGCGGUGAAAUGCAUAGAUAUUACACAGAACGCCGAUUGCGGAGGCAGGAUACUAGGCCAUUACUGACGCUGAGGCACGAAAGCGUGGGGAUCAAACAGGAUUAGAUACCCUGGUAGUCCACGCCGUAAACGAUGAUCACUCGCUGUUUGCGAUAUACAGUAAGCGGCUGAGCGAAAGCAAUAAGUGAUCCACCUGGGGAGUACGAUCGCAAGGUUGAA